UCCAGACUCCUACGGGAGGCAGCAGUGGGGGAUAUUGCACAAUGGGGGGAACCCUGAUGCAGCGACGCCGCGUGGGUGAAGGAGCGUUUCGGCGCGUAAAGCCCUAUCGGCAGGGAAGAAGGAGGACGGUACCUGACUAAGAAGCCCCGGCUAACUACGUGCCAGCAGCCGCGGGAAUACGUAGGGGGCAAGCGUUAUCCGGAUUUACUGGGUGUAAAGGGAGCGUAGACGGUCCUGCAAGCCAGAUGUGAAAGCCCGGGGCUCAACCCCGGGACUGCAUUUGGAACUGUAAGGCUAGAGUGUCGGAGAGGCAGGCGGAAUUCCUAGUGUAGCGGUGAAAUGCGUAGAUAUUAGGAGGAACACCAGUGGCGAAGGCGGCCUGCUGGACGAUGACUGACGUUGAGGCUCGAAAGCGUGGGGAGCAAACAGGAUUAGAUACCCGAGUAGU
rnacentral:rRNA from 1 species